rnacentral:pre_miRNA from 1 species
AAAGUACUCCCUCCGUCCCAAAAUUCUUGUCUUAGAUUUUUCUAGAUACGGAUGUAUCAAGUCACAUUUUAGUAUUAGAUACAUCCGUAUCUAGACAAAUUUAAGACAAGAAAUUUGGGACAAAGGGAGUAGUUG